GGCAGCUUUUAUUUUGAAGGCUGUUGCUGGAAUUCAGUUUUCGUUCCGGUGUCGGUUCAUGUCCCGGUUGUUGUGCAAAUAAGAGACGCAUGUAUGUACCGCUGCUGAUGGAGGGAAGGAUGUUUAAAAUAGAAGAGCUUAAGGUGUUCGUCAACGAGCGGCUACAUGUCGCAGCUGCUGAAAUAUUAGGUGUUGUUGAAAAAACCAUAGCCGAUUAUGAAGAGCAGGCUUCCCGUUUGAAGCGAGAAAGCGACCGGCAGCGAGCCCUGCUAAAUAUUGUCCUGAGACCUAGGUUACCACAGAGAGAAGCUGGUCACAUCAGCACCGCUUCUACCACAAGCACCAACACCGCUACGGCUCCAGCUGUUGCUGCCCCAGUCCCAGUGGGUGUAAGCCAUACACGCAGGGCCAACGGAAGCCCCUGCUAUUCCACAGAGUUGUGCUGUGCAUUCACGUCACGCACAAACUUCCUGAAAUUUGCUGCUAAUGGCAACUGUCCAUACUGCUUCAAAAGAACGGUGGCCACUGAGACGCAUCUGAUCAAAAAGCAUUAUUUAUUUGCCAUUCACUACACUGAGAACGGAAUUGGAAAAUUUAUUGUGCCGUGUACAUGCAAAGACAGGAUUCAGGGCAGAAGUCAUUGGCACUGUCCAAACUGCAGCAAGAUAAUCCAUCGGAAACACAACUUCGAGGUGCACCUGUAUAAGCAACAUGGUUAUGUAAUACAGCAGCAAAUCCAAGAAGGCACGGACGUACAUCAACCCUCUGUCUCCGUCUAUGAGGAAGAGGAGGAGGUUCCCCCUGAAGCCUGGUGUGAGCAGGAGUUCAGCAGUUUGGUCAAGGAGGACCAACAGCCCUCUCUGCCACUUGCCGUUAAAGAAGAACAGGAGGAACUGUGGGUUAGCCGAGGGGAAAAACAUUCUCCAGUGAUACGUCCUGAGUGGCCGAGCCUAGAGCAUCUGCAGAUCAAAGAGGAGCAGAUAGAAGCAUGUUAUGGUCAAGCAGGAAAGUCACUUCAAAGUCUGCAAGAGGAUCUUGCCAAAAACUCUUUAUUCACCAUUGCCUGUGUGGAAAGCCUUCUUCAGGAUUCAGCAUUGGCCAUCCAUUGCGGGCAAAUUGAUAAUAGGGAAAGCAGCGAGCACCGCCCUCUUCCUACUUCUUCAGCUGAAGCAGUGGACCCUCAGAUUGAUAGAGGGUUGGAGAGUCAAGUGUCGGAACCAGCUGGUAAAUCCUGGCUUCCUGGUGGAGACUGUACUGUAUCUGAGAAUGGAAUAAGGAGCAUGGAUGAGGCCACAAGGAAGAGCGGUGGAUCUGGAACGGGUUUAAAGACACUCAUGUCGAAGAAGGCAAAACUAGUGAAAAGACAUCGUUACUGCAUCAGUAUGAAAAAAACAAAAUCUGUGCGGUUGUCUGCCUGGCAAAGACCUACUGGUCCUCAUUGUUGUAAAGCAUGUGGAAAGUCUUUUCACUAUAUAUACACACUAAGGGCGCAUGCUCAAACACACACUGUGGAUAAACUGCAGAUUUGUGGGUUGUGUGGAAAACAUUUAGAGUCAACACAGAGAUUAAUCCAACACCUACGGACACACGUAGAGACAAACAAAAGUUAUAAAUGUGGCAAAUGCUUCUCCAGUAAUUUUCUGAAACUGCACAGGAGUUUUCACAAACUAAAGAAUCCAGAUGUCAUUCAGUGAUAAGAAUAGAUCUUAAUAGAUGGGAGAAACCUCACAGUUGUCAGGAAUGUGACAAGACCUGCUGCUAGUCUUGGAAUCUGGCGAACCCAUUCAUAAACCAGAAAAGAAACCGGUCCAGUGGACCAGUUGACAGCCAUGCAUGUAGAAUGCAGGGCUGAAAAUACACUGGAGAAACUCUAUGGUUGCACAGCUUAAAAUAAGGGAUAUUUACAGUAUAUUUAUAAAUAAACAUCUGUAGACAGAGCUUAUGCAGUAUGUAAAUUUUGCACUGACAAUCUGUCCUCUGCAGAGCAAACAAUAAGCAGAGUAAGUGUGCUAUUUCUAAUCUGUUACUAUGUAAAACAAAUUCUGUCCCAUGUUAGGAAAGACAUUUCUGUAUAUUCCAAAUGAGGCAGACUUGUGUCCAUUUAAAACAUAACUCUUACUCAGGUCUAUGGCGAGGAGGUGCAGUGGCUACAUAGAAAAUCAUGUUUUCAAAAAUGUGUUUUAUUUAUUGAUUGUUUUGUUUCAAGCAUUUGGUCAAUAUUUGGAGGGAAAAAAGUCAAGAGAAAUGCUACAUUGUCUGUUGUCUGUAUAAAAAGAAAAAAUCAUGAAACAAGUAAGCCCUUCAUCUCACUAUUAUUUUUGCUUCUCCUGACAUCUAAUAGCGGUGUGUAGCUUUGCAAAUAGGCUGUGUUUGAGAAUUCUGGUUCAUUUCAAUCUGGGCCUAGUUUUCCUAGUUUUUGCCACCUCAUCCUUGACAAUUGAUCCUUAUCAGAGGGAAACUAAAACAGUUGAACUGAAAUGCACCACAUCGUGUCCUUGUCAAAAACUGCUACAAGACUGGCCUACUUCCCAGUUCUCUGUUACCUCAAUUAUCCAUGGCCUGAAGCUUGGGUUUAUUGCAGUAUUAGAUUAGACUGGACAGGGAUGAUUUUUGUCUUCACAGGAUCAUUAGUCGUGGAUGAGCAAGCAAGUAGCGGAAUAUUUUCAGAAUAGUCCCAAGUCACAGAAAACGGCAUCACUCCUCUGUUUAAAACCAGGAAGAGACAACAGUUAUGCCCUAUCACAAUAUAACAAUAUCCAAAAUCCCAGAUGAUACCUUGUCUCUUGCCCAGACCUGUGUCAAAGAUAUUUCCUGAAUUUAUUUGUGAG
ensembl:lncRNA